GCAGCCGCGGUAAUACGUAGGGGGCAAGCGUUGUCCGGAAUGACUGGGCGUAAAGGGCGUGUAGGCGGCCGAUUAAGUUGGGAGUGAAAUUCCUGUUUUCAAGAUGGGAACUGCUUUCAAAACUGAUUGGCUUGAGUGCAGAAGAGGUAAGUGGAAUUCCCAGUGUAGCGGUGAAAUGCGUAGAGAUUGGGAGGAACACCAGUGGCGAAGGCGACUUACUGGGCUGUAACUGACGCUGAGGCGCGAAAGCGUGGGGAGCAAACAGGAUUAGAUACCCC
rnacentral:rRNA from 1 species